rnacentral:rRNA from 1 species
AUUGAACGCUGGCGGCAUGCUUUACACAUGCAAGUCGAACGGUAACAGGCCUUCGGGUGCUGGCGAGUGGCGCACGGGUGAGUAAUGCAUCGGAACGUGCCCAGAGGUGGGGGAUAACGCAGCGAAAGCUGUGCUAAUACCGCAUGUGAUCUGAGGAUGAAAGCGGGGGACCAGGCAGCAAUGUUUGGCCUCGCGCCUUUGGAGCGGCCGAUGUCAGAUUAGGUAGUUGGUGGGGUAAAGGCCUACCAAGCCGACGAUCUGUAGCUGGUCUGAGAGGACGACCAGCCACACUGGGACUGAGACACGGCCCAGACUCCUACGGGAGGCAGCAGUGGGGAAUUUUGGACAAUGGGCGCAAGCCUGAUCCAGCAAUGCCGCGUGCGGGAAGAAGGCCUUCGGGUUGUAAACCGCUUUUGUACGGAACGAAAAGGCUCUGGCUAAUACCUGGGGCUGAUGACGGUACCGUAAGAAUAAGCACCGGCUAACUACGUG